rnacentral:sRNA from 1 species
UUGGAGAAGAGAACUAAUAGC